UAUUAAAAUAUUCAUUUAUUUCUAAUGUUAAAAAAUAGCGUGACCAACAAAAUAACCAGUGUAGCUCAUAUUGACGUACAAUCAUCAGUUUUUAAAAAUAAAAAUAGAUGAAAUUUUUAAUA
rnacentral:pre_miRNA from 1 species